GUGCUUGCUUUGCAGCACAUAUACUAAAAUUGAUAUGAUAGAGAUAAGAUUAGUACAGUCCCUGUGCAAGGAUAACAUGCAGAUUCAUGAAGUGUUCUAUAUUUUU